AAGUCGUAACAAGGUCUCCGUAGGUGAACCUGCGGAGGGAUCAUUACAGAGUUCUCGCCCUCGCGGGUAGAUCUCCCACCCACUGUGAUUGCUACCGUGUUGCUUUGGCGGGCCGCCGGGCCCAGCCCGGCCGCCGGCUCCGGCCAGCGCGUGCCCGCCAGAGGCCCAGCAAACUCUGAAUGUCAGCGUCGUCUGAGUACACUAUACAAUAGUUAAAACUUUCAACAACGGAUCUCUUGGUUCUGGCAUCGAUGAAGAACGCAGCGAAAUGCGAUAAGUAAUGCGAAUUGCAGAAUUCAGUGAGUCAUCGAAUCUUUGAACGCACAUUGCGCCCUGUGGUAUUCCGCAGGGCAUGCCUGUUCGAGCGUCAUUUCAACCCUCAAGCUCUGCUUGGUGUUGGGCCCUGCCCGCUGCGGCCGGCCCCAAAGACAGUGGCGGCGCCGCCUGGCCCUGAGCGUAGUACGUCUCUCGCUCCAGUGCCCGGCGGUGGCCUGCCAGAACCCCCGACUCUCUUGGUUGACCUCGGAUCAGGUAGGGAUACCCGCUGAACUUAA
rnacentral:rRNA from 1 species